GUUGCCGGUUCUGAUGGUAACCUGUAUGAAGGCCGUGGCUGGGAUUGGGUAGGUGCCCACACACAAGGGUACAACUCCGAUGGCUAUGGCGUCUGCUUCAUUGGAGACUACACCUCCACUCUCCCAGUAAAGAGCGCAAUGGACAUGGUGAGGUACGACUUUACAAAGUGUGCCGUGGAUUCAGGGGGACUGUCUUCAGGUUACUACUUAUAUGGACACAGACAAGCUGGGUCCACAGAGUGCCCAGGAAAUGCCUUCUAUCGUGAAAUCCAGAACUGGGAGCAUUACGAUAGCUAUUUACCUUGAAGGCCACAAUGAUGGGCAACUAACCGUGUCCUUGGAAAACAGUACAUGUAUUAAGUGUUGCAUGUAACACAUAAUAAAUGCAUAUACUUCAAAAA